UGGGGAAUAUUGGACAAUGGGCGCAAGCCUGAUCCAGCCAUGCCGCGUGAGUGAUGAAGGCCCUAGGGUUGUAAAGCUCUUUCACCGGUGAAGAUAAUGACGGUAACCGGAGAAGAAGCCCCGGCUAACUUCGUGCCAGCAGCCGCGGUAAUACGAAGGGGGCUAGCGUUGUUCGGAUUUACUGGGCGUAAAGCGCACGUAGGCGGACUUUUAAGUCAGGGGUGAAAUCCCGGGGCUCAACCCCGGAACUGCCUUUGAUACUGGAAGUCUUGAGUAUGGUAGCGGUGAGAGAAAUUCCGAGUGUAGAGGUGAAAUUCGUAGAUAUUCGGAGGAACACCAGUGGCGAAGGCGGCUCACUGGACCAUUACUGACGCUGAGGUGCGAAAGCGUGGGGAGCAAACAGG
rnacentral:rRNA from 1 species